UACGUAGGGCGCAAGCGUUGUCCGGAAUUAUUGGGCGUAAAGAGCUCGUAGGCGGUUUGUCGCGUCUGCCGUGAAAGUCCGGGGCUCAACUCCGGAUCUGCGGUGGGUACGGGCAGACUAGAGUGGUGUAGGGGAGACUGGAAUUCCUGGUGUAGCGGUGAAAAUGCGCAGAUAUCAGGAGGAACACCGAUGGCGAAGGCAGGUCUCUGGGCAUUAACUGACGCUGAGGAGCGAAAGCAUGGGGAGCGAACAGG
rnacentral:rRNA from 1 species